rnacentral:rRNA from 1 species
CACGUAAAGAACCUGCCUCAUAGACUGGGACAACUAUUGGAAACGAUAGCUAAUACCGGAUAACAGCAUUAACUGCAUGGUUGAUGUUUAAAAGUUGGUUUUUGCUAACACUAUGAGAUGGCUUUGCGGUGCAUUAGCUAGUUGGUGGGGUAAAGGCCUACCAAGGCGACGAUGCAUAGCCGACCUGAGAGGGUGAUCGGCCACACUGGGACUGAGACACGGCCCAG